rnacentral:rRNA from 1 species
GUAAUAUAUCGGAACGUACCCUAGAGUGGGGGAUAACGUAGCGAAAGUUACGCUAAUACCGCAUACGAUCUAAGGAUGAAAGUGGGGGAUCGCAAGACCUCAUGCUCGUGGAGCGGCCGAUAUCUGAUUAGCUAGUUGGUGGGGUAAAGGCCUACCAAGGCAUCGAUCAGUAGCUGGUCUGAGAGGACGACCAGCCACACUGGAACUGAGACACGGUCCAGACUCCUACGGGAGGCAGCAGUGGGGAAUUUUGGACAAUGGGCGCAAGCCUGAUCCAGCAAUGCCGCGUGAGUGAAGAAGGCCUUCGGGUUGUAAAGCUCUUUUGUCAGGGAAGAAACGGUGGCCUCUAAUAUAGGCUGCUAAUGACGGUACCUGAAGAAUAAGCACCGGCUAACUACGUGCCAGCAGCCGCGGUAAUACGUAGGGUGCAAGCGUUAAUCGGAAUUACUGGGCGUAAAGCGUGCGCAGGCGGUUUGUACGUCUGUCGUGAAAUCCCCGGGCUCAACUGGGAAUGGCGAUGGAGACUGCAAGGCUAGAAUCUGGGCAGAGGG